UCCUAGAUUGUAUAGUGGUAAGUAUCUCCGCUCGUCACGUGGAAGGCCCGGGUUCGAUUCACGGUCGAGGA
rnacentral:tRNA from 1 species